rnacentral:rRNA from 1 species
UACGGGGGGGGCAAGCGUUGUUCGGAAUUACUGGGCGUAAAGGGCUCGUAGGCGGCCAACUAAGUCGGACGUGAAAUCCCUCGGCUUAACCGGGGAACUGCGUCCGAUACUGGAUGGCUUGAGUUCGGGAGAGGGAUGCGGAAUUCCAGGUGUAGCGGUGAAAUGCGUAGAUAUGACAUAGAACAUCGAUUGCGAAGGCAGCUCGCUACGCUAUUAUUGACACUGAGGCACGAAAGCGUGGGGAUCAAACAGG